rnacentral:rRNA from 1 species
CAGGAUGAACGCUGGCGGCGUGCCUAACACAUGCAAGUCGAACGGGGUUAAGUGAAAUUUCGGAUGGAGCUUAACUUAGUGGCGGACGGGUGAGUAACGCGUGGAUAACCUGCCUCACACUGGGGGGAUAGCAGCUGGAAACGGCUGGUAAUACCGCAUAAGACCACAGCACCGCAUGGUGCAGGGGUAAAAGAUUUAUCGGUGUGAGAUGGAUCCGCGUCUGAUUAGCCAGUUGGCGGGUAACGGCCCACCAAAGCGACGAUCAGUAGCCGGCCUGAGAGGGUGAACGGCCACAUUGGGACUGAGACACGGCCCAAACUCCUACGGGAGGCAGCAGUGGGAAUAUUGCACAAUGGGCGCAAGCCUGAUGCAGCAACGCCCGCGUGAGUGAAGAAGUAUUUCGGUAUGUAAAGCUCUAUCGGCAGGGAAGAAAGGCCCUUAACAGGGAGAUGACGGUACCUGACUAAGAAGCCCCGGCUAACUACGUGCCAGCCGCCGC